GGGGGUAUGGCUCAGUGGUUGAGCGCAUGUUUGGCAUGCAGGAGGUCCUGAGUUCAAUCCCUAGUACCUCCA
rnacentral:tRNA from 1 species